GACGAACGCUGGCGGCGUGCCUAAUACAUGCAAGUCGAACGGGGAAAGCUUUCGGGUGAGUACUAGUGGCGCACGGGUGAGUAACGCGUGGAUAAUCUGCCUUAGAGUGGGGGAUAACUAGUCGAAAGAUUAGCUAAUACCGCAUAAGACCACAAGAACUGCGGUUCAAGAGGUCAAAGGUUUUUCGCUCUAAGAUGAGUCCGCGUAAGAUUAGCUAGUUGGUGAGGUAACGGCUCACCAAGGCAACGAUCUUUAACUGGUCUGAGAGGAUGAUCAGUCACACUGGAACUGAGACACGGUCCAGACUCCUACGGGGGGCAGCAGUAGGGAAUAUUGCACAAUGGAGGAAACUCUGAUGCAGCGACGCCGCGUGAGUGAUGAAGGCCUUCGGGUCGUAAAGCUCUGUCGCAGGGGAAUAACACAAUGAAUGUACCCUGUAAGAAAGGAUCGGCUAACUUCGUGCCAGCAGCCGCGGUAACAC
rnacentral:rRNA from 1 species